AUUGAACGCUGGCGGUAUGCUUAACACAUGCAAGUCGAACGGUAACAGGCCUUCGGGCGCUGACGAGUGGCGGACGGUGAGUAACGCGUAGGAAUCUGCCUCAUAGUGGGGGACAACGUGGGGAAACUCACGCUAAUACCGCAUACGCCCUACGGGGGAAAGCGGGGGAUCUUCGGACCUCGCGCUAUGAGAUGAGCCUGCGUUAGAUUAGCUAGUUGGUAGGGUAAAGGCCUACCAAGGCGACGAUCUAUAGCUGGUCUGAGAGGACGAUCAGCCACACUGGGACUGAGACACGGCCCAGACUCCUACGGGAGGCAGCAGUGGGGAAUAUUGGACAAUGGGCGCAAGCCUGAUCCAGCAAUACCGCGUGUGUGAAGAAGGCCCUAGGGUUGUAAAGCACUUUCAAUUGGGAGGAAAACCUGCCGGUCAAUACCGGCAGCUUGACAUUACCUUUAGAAGAAGCACCGGCUAACUCCGUGCCAGCAGCCGCGGUAAU
rnacentral:rRNA from 1 species